rnacentral:rRNA from 1 species
AAGAAUGUCGACUUGGGAGGUUGUGCCCUUGAGGCGUGGCUUCCGGAGCUAACGCGUUAAGUCGACCGCCUGGGGAGUACGGCCGCAAGGUUAAAACUCAAAUGAAUUGACGGGGGCCCGCACAAGCGGUGGAGCAUGUGGUUUAAUUCGAUGCAACGCGAAGAACCUUACCUGGUCUUGACAUCCACAGAACUUUCCAGAGAUGGAUUGGUGCCUUCGGGAACUGUGAGACAGGUGCUGCAUGGCUGUCGUCAGCUCGUGUUGUGAAAUGUUGGGUUAAGUCCCGCAACGAGCGCAACCCUUAUCCUUUGUUGCCAGCGGUCCGGCCGGGAACUCAAAGGAGACUGCCAGUGAUAAACUGGAGGAAGGUGGGGAUGACGUCAAGUCAUCAUGGCCCUUACGACCAGGGCUACACACGUGCUACAAUGGCGCAUACAAAGAGAAGCGACCUCGCGAGAGCAAGCGGACCUCAUAAAGUGCGUCGUAGUCCGGAUUGGAGUCUGCAACUCGACUCCAUGAAGUCGGAAUCGCUAGUAAUCGUGGAUCAGAAUGCCACGGUGAAUACGUUCCCGGGCCUUGUACACACCGCCCGUCACACCAUGGGAGUGGGUUGCAAAAGAAGUAGGUAGCUUAACCUUCGGGAGGGCGCUUACCACUUUGUGAUUCAUGACUGGGGUGAAGUCGAAAGGGGAAACCCCGAAAAAAG